CUCCAUAUUUCCUUCCUCAUGUAGAUCUCUCUGUGUAAUCUGUGUAUUAUUGUCAGUAGAUUCUGCUGCUGUACAAAAAUUGUGCUGAUCUGUUGAGAAAAAUGCACGUAAUUUAAGUUGGCGAAAGAAUUUAUACAAACUGACGUCAUAUUGAUGCCACUCUAUAUGGGGUGUAGGAAUGAAGGAGAGUCCCUUGUUCAGG